rnacentral:rRNA from 1 species
GGAUGCUAUCAUACCAGCACUAAAGCACCGGAUCCCAUCAGAACUCCGUAGUUAAGCGUGCUUGGGCGAGAGUAGUAUUAGGAUGGGUGACCUCCUGGGAAGUCCUCGUGUUGCUUUCC